UGUUAAAAUUCUAUCCAUUUGUGCUGUUAAAAACUGAUAUGGUUGACGAAAUAACCAAACAAUGACAUGUGACAUGCCACAUGCCACGUGUACCUCAUGUUAAGGUACAUGGACCAGUUUGAGCAACAGAAAUAGAGGAGAUCUUUAACA
rfam:Gossypium raimondii Chr01_contig_18, whole genome shotgun sequence.